rnacentral:rRNA from 1 species
AGUGAACGCUGGCGGUAGGCCUAACACAUGCAAGUCGAACGGCAGCACAGUAAGAGCUUGCUCUUACGGGUGGCGAGUGGCGGACGGGUGAGGAAUACAUCGGAAUCUACUUUUUCGUGGGGGAUAACGUAGGGAAACUUACGCUAAUACCGCAUACGACCUACGGGUGAAAGCAGGGGAUCUUCGGACCUUGCGCGAUUGAAUGAGCCGAUGUCGGAUCAGCUAGUGGGCGGGGUAAAGGCCCAACAAGGCGACGAUCCGUAGCUGGUCUGAGAGGAUGAGCAGCCACACUGGAACUGAGACACGGUCCAGACUCCUACGGGAGGCAGCAGUGGGGAAUAUUGGACAAGGGGCGCAAGCCUGAUCCAGCCAUACCGCGUGGGUGAAGAAGGCCUUCGGGUUGUAGAGCCCUUUUGUUGGGAAAGAAAAGCAGCAGGUUAAUACCCCGCUGUUCUGACGGUACCCAAAGAAUAAGCACCGGCUAACUUCGUG